rnacentral:rRNA from 1 species
UGCUUUACACAUGCAAGUCGAACGGCAGCACGGACUUCGGUCUGGUGGCGAGUGGCGAACGGGUGAGUAAUGUAUCGGAACGUGCCCAGUCGUGGGGGAUAACGUAGUGAAAAUUACGCUAAUACCGCAUACGAUCUAUGGAUGAAAGCGGGGGAUCGCAAGACCUCGCGCGAUUGGAGCGGCCGAUAUCAGAUUAGGUAGUUGGUAGGGUAAAGGCCUACCAAGCCAACGAUCUGUAGCUGGUCUGAGAGGACGACCAGCCACACUGGAACUGAGACACGGUCCAGACUCCUACGGGAGGCAGCAGUGGGGAAUUUUGGACAAUGGGCGAAAGCCUGAUCCAGCCAUUCCGCGUGCAGGAUGAAGGCCCUCGGGUUGUAAACUGC